rnacentral:lncRNA from 10 species
CGGAGUCUCCCUCUGCUGUCCAGGCUGGAGUACAGUGGUGCGAUCUCGGCCCACUGCAACCUCCACCUCCCAGGUUCCAGUGAUUCUCUCGCCUCAGCCUCCCGAGUAGCCAGGACUACAGGAAUGCAGCACCACGCCCAGCUAAUUUUUGUAUUUUUAGUAGAGACGCGGUUUCACCAUGUUGACCAGCCUGGUCUCGAACUCCUGACCUCAGCAUGUUAGCCGCUUGCAAGACCCUUCAAGAAGUAACACAGCUAUCACAAGAAGCACAGAGAAUAGUUGAGAAACUUGAAAAGUCCACAAAGCCUAUUGUGGCUGCCAUCAAUGGAUCCUGCCUGGGAGGAGGACUUGAGGUUGCCAUUUCAUGCCAAUACAGAAUAGCAACAAAAGACAGAAAAACAGUAUUAGGUACCCCUGAAGUUUUGCUGGGG